UACGUAGGGUGCGAGCGUUGUCCGGAAUUAUUGGGCGUAAAGGGCGCGUAGGCGGUUUGUACAGUCAGACGUGAAAUUCCUGGGCUCAACCUGGGGGCUGCGUUUGAUACGUGCAGACUUGAGUUCGGAAGAGGGUCGUGGAAUUCCCAGUGUAGAGGUGAAAUUCGUAGAUAUUGGGAAGAACACCGGUGGCGAAGGCGGCGACCUGGUCCGAUACUGACGCUGAGGAGCGAAAGCGUGGGGAGCGAACAGG
rnacentral:rRNA from 1 species